GCGGUGAGCGUCUGGCCUUGGCCUUGGCCC
rnacentral:piRNA from 1 species